rnacentral:rRNA from 1 species
AACGAACGCUGGCGGCAUGCCUAACACAUGCAAGUCGAACGAAGCCUUCGGGCUUAGUGGCGCACGGGUGCGUAACGCGUGGGAAUCUGCCCUUAGGUACGGAAUAACUCAGGGAAACUUGUGCUAAUACCGUAUGAUGUCGAGAGACCAAAGAUUUAUCGCCUAGGGAUGAGCCCGCGUAGGAUUAGCUAGUUGGUGGGGUAAAGGCCUACCAAGGCGACGAUCCUUAGCUGGUCUGAGAGGAUGAUCGGCCACACUGGGACUGAGACACGGCCCAGACUCCUACGGGAGGCAGCAGUGGGGGAAUAUUGGACAAUGGGCGAAAGCCUGAUCCAGCAAUGCCGCGUGAGUGAAGAAGGCCUUCGGGUUGUAAAGCUCUUUUACCCGGGUAACGAGUAAUGACUGUACCGGGAGAAUAAGCCCGGCUAACUCCGUGCCAGCAGCCGCGGUAAU